rnacentral:rRNA from 1 species
AUGAUGCAACAUUAUGAAUCAAUAAAAUCCACCCUUUAUAGAAAAAACAUUUUGAAAAUUUAUGUUUGCAUGGGAAACCACAAACAUAGGCAAGAUCCAAUUCUUUUCAGAAAAGGUCACACCUUGUGGUCUUUUUGCGCCGAACACUUACUUCAUACUGACGUCAACAAAUCAACAUAUUCAAUGUUGCUUAUUCUCUUAAUAUCUUCUUCGAAUUGUUUGUUCCCAUUUUGUAUCAGUGAUGAAGGAUCAAUAUUAGUGUCACAUGCUACUAUGUAUAGUUGUAUACUAAUGAAGUGA